rnacentral:rRNA from 1 species
AACGAACGCUGGCGGCGUGCCUAACACAUGCAAGUCGAACGUGAUUGGAAGCUUGCUUCCAUGAAAGUGGCGCACGGGUGAGUAACGCGUAGAUAAUCUGCCUGAUGAUCCGGGAUAACACCUCGAAAGGGGUGCUAAUACCGGAUAAGCCCACGGGGUCUUUGGACUCUGCGGGAAAAGGGGGGCACCUUCGGGCCUCCUGUCAUCAGAUGAGUCUGCGUACCAUUAGCUAGUUGGUAGGGUAAAGGCCUACCAAGGCGACGAUGGUUAGCUGGUCUGAGAGGAUGAUCAGCCACACUGGAACUGAGACACGGUCCAGACUCCUACGGGAGGCAGCAGUGGGGAAUCUUCCGCAAUGGACGCAAGUCUGACGGAGCAACGCCGCGUGAGUGAAGAGGGUUUUCGGAUCGUAAAACUCUGUUUUCAGGGACGAACGUGCUUUGUGUAAAUAAUGCAAAGUAAUGACGGUACCUGAGUAGAAAGCCACGGCUAACUACGUGCCAGCAGCCGCGGUAAGAC